UACAGAGGGUGCGAGCGUUAAUCGGAAUUACUGGGCGUAAAGCGCGCGUAGGCGGCUUUGCAAGUCGGGUGUGAAAUCCCCAGGCUUAACCUGGGAACUGCAUUCGAGACUGCAUUGCUAGAGUAUGGGAGAGGGAAGUGGAAUUUCCGGUGUAGCGGUGAAAUGCGUAGAUAUCGGAAGGAACAUCGGUGGCGAAAGCGACUUCCUGGACCAAUACUGACGCUCAUGUGCGAAAGCGUGGGGAGCAAACAGG
rnacentral:rRNA from 1 species